rnacentral:rRNA from 1 species
AAUUGAAAGUUUUGGAUCAGAAAUGAUUCAAGACGAUAAAAUUUCAAAACAACUUUAAGCAAUGGAUCACUUGGUUCUCGCAUCGAUGAAGAGCGUAGCAAAUUGCGAAAAGUAAUGCGAUCUGCAGCCUUUGCGAAUCAUCGAAUUCUCGAACGCACCUUGCACCCUUUGGUUCAUCCAUUGGGUACGUCUAGUUCAGUAUCUUUAUUAACCCCUAAAGGUUUAUUUUUUGAUAAAUCUUUGGAUUUGCGGUGCUGAUGGAUUUUCAUCCGUUCAAGCUACCCGAACAAUUUGUAUGUUGUUGACCCUUGAUAUUUCCUUGAGGGCUUGCAUUGGUAUCUAAUUUUUUACCAGUGUGCUUCGAGAUGAUCAAGUAUAAAGGUCAAUCAACCACAAAUAAAUUUCAACUAUGGAUCUGAACUUAGAUGGGAUUACCCGCUGAACUUAAGCAUAUCAAUAAGCGGAGGAAAAGAAAAUAACAAUGAUACCCUUAGUAGCGGCGAGCGAAGUGGGUAAAGCUCAAGUUUAAAACCUGUUUGUCCUAGACAAACCGGAUUGUAAACUAAGGACGUGCUAUCCAGGCUCUUUGGACCUUCAAGUCCUUUGGAAUAAGGCUUCACAGAGGGUGACAAUCCCGUAGAGGGUCUUGAAAGAGUCUAUUGCGAUGCAUGCUCCAAGAGUCAGGUUGUUUGGGAAUGCAGCCUAAA